ACAUCGCUCUUUGAACAUUUUAAUAUAAAGAGUCGAGCCUGCCCAGUGAUGGAAUUUUAACGGCCGCGGUACUCUGACCGUGCAAAGGUAGCAUAAUCAUUUGCCCUAUAAUUGAGGGCUAGUAUGAAUGGUUUGACAAGAGCAAUACUGUCUCCUUUAGAUUUUAUAGAAUUUGGUUUUUAGGUGAAGAGACCUAAAUAUAAUUGAAAGACAAGAAGACCCUAUCGAGCUUUAAGUUAUUUUAUUAAUUAAAUGAAUUAAAUAUCAGUUUUAAUAAAAGAUUUUGGUUGGGGCGACUGAGGAACAAAUAAAGCUUCCUUUUUUAAAAUAACUUAUUAGUUUUGAUCCAAAAUGUUUGAUUAAAAGAAUUAGUUACCGUAGGGAUAACAGCAUAAUCUUUUUUGAGAGCUCUUAUCGAAAAAAAGGUUUGUGACCUCGAUGUUGGACUAGGAUAUCCUAAUAGAUGCAGACGUCUUUGAUGGUUGGUCUGUUCGACCAUUAAAAUCCUAC
rnacentral:rRNA from 1 species